rnacentral:rRNA from 1 species
UACGUAGGGGGCAAGCGUUGUUCGGAAUUACUGGGCGUAAAGCGCACGUAGGCGGCUUUGUAAGUUAGAGGUGAAAGCCCGGGGCUCAACCCCGGAAUUGCCUUUAAGACUGCAUCGCUUGAAUCCGGGAGAGGUGAGUGGAAUUCCGAGUGUAGAGGUGAAAUUCGUAGAUAUUCGGAAGAACACCAGUGGCGAAGGCGGCUCACUGGACCGGUAUUGACGCUGAGGUGCGAAAGCGUGGGGAGCAAACAGG